UAGACGUAGAAGUUAGAUUGCAGCAGGUU
rnacentral:sRNA from 1 species